UUCAACCCAUUGCUAAGCUUAACUAUUUCAGUUUCUCAGCAUUCAGUGCUUUGAACGCAUGUGCUACCAUCUGAAGUAAAAUAGGUUGUUUAGAGGCUUUUGCUAGAAGACCCACUGACUAACGCUUAUAACUUAUGUCAAAGGAUUAAUCACGCCUCAGUUCAAGCCAGCCUUUCCUAAUGGCGAACUGCUUUCUGUGGGGUUGAUACUCCCUCUUCUGAAAACAAAGUCAGACGUGUGGGGGGCUACCAUAGGAUGGACCAAAGCCCAGAGGGAACUUGGGGCAUCAUGGGCCACUGUCUGAUGUGCUGUGGCAGCUCUGUGUUCCCAGGGACUGGUUUCUGGAGAAACAAAACAAGGUGUAAGUUAAUAACACCCUUUAUAGGUCAGCUGCCAACCUCUUUUUCCCAGACAUGGAGAAAGCGAGGUCAGCUGUUUCGUAUAUAAAGAAGUAUCUUAUGUGAAGGCAAGUUUGGUCUCGCUGAUUGAUUAAAUUGGAUUUUUUAAGACCCAGGUUGAUCUGAGAAAUCCACAAAUAAUGUACCAAAAUAUAGUGGAUUACAGUGAAC